rnacentral:sRNA from 1 species
AGCAGCCGCGGUAAUUCCAGCUCCAAUAGCGUAUAUUAAAGUUGUUGCAGUUAAAAAGCUCGUAGUUGAAUUUCGGGGUUCUACCGUUGGUCGGGCUAUAGUCUGUACUGGCGUGUGGAAUUUCUACCUUCUGGGGAACUAUCAUGUUAUUAAUUUAGCGUGGUAGGAAACCAGAACCUUUACCUUGAAAAAUUAGAGUGUUCAAAGCAGGCUUACGUCUGAAUACAUUAGCAUGGAAUAAUAAAAUAGGACGGUGGUCCUGUUUUGUUGGUUUCUGAAUCACCGUAAUGAUUAAUAGGGAUAGUUGGGGGCAUUAGUAUUCAAUUGUCAGAGGUGAAAUUCUUGGAUUUAUUGAAGACUAACUACUGCGAAAGCAUUUGCCAAGGAUGUUUUCAUUAAUCAAGAACGAAAGUUAGGGGAUCGAAGACGAUCAGAUACCGUCGUAGUCUUAACCAUAAA